rnacentral:rRNA from 1 species
AGCUAUAUGUUUUUAUAUUUAGUUAUUUCUGCCCGGUGAUAUUUAAACGGCCGCAGUACUUUGACUGUGCUAAGGUAGCAUAAUCAAUUGACUUUUAAUUGAAGUCUGGAAUGAAUGGUAAAAUGGGAAAAAUCUGUCUCUAGAAAAAUUUUUAAAAUUUAUUAAUAAGGUGAAAAUACCUUAAGUUUUAAAAAAGACGAGAAGACCCUUAGAGUUUUUUUGUUGGGGUGACAAAUAAGCUAACCUUAUUUUUUUUUAGAUUAAGCUACCUUAGGGAUAACAGCAUAAUAUUUUAUUAAGAUUGUGACCUCGAUGUUGGACUAGGAAAUUAAUAAUUAGAAAUUAAAAUAAAUAGUCGUGUUCGAACAAUUACUCCU